GGUUAAGCGACUAAGCGUACACGGUGGAUGCCCUGGCAGUCAGAGGCGAUGAAGGACGUGCUAAUCUGCGAAAAGCGUCGGUAAGGUGAUAUGAACCGUUAUAACCGGCGAUGUCCGAAUGGGGAAACCCAGUGUGAUUCGUCACACUAUCGUUAACUGAAUACAUAGGUUAACGAGGCGAACCGGGGGAACUGAAACAUCUAAGUACCCCGAGGAAAAGAAAUCAACCGAGAUUCCCCCAGUAGCGGCGAGCGAACGGGGAGCAGCCCAGAGUCUGAAUCAGCUUGUGUGUUAGUGGAACGGUCUGGAAAGUCCGACGGUACAGGGUGAUAGUCCCGUACACCAAAAUGCACAGGUUGUGAACUCGAAGAGUAGGGCGGGACACGUGGUAUCCUGUCUGAAUAUGGGGGGACCAUCCUCCAAGGCUAAAUACUCCUGACUGACCGAUAGUGAACCAGUACCGUGAGGGAAAGGCGAAAAGAACCCCGGCGAGGGGAGUGAAAAAGAACCUGAAACCGUGUACGUACAAGCAGUGGGAGCACCUUCGGGUGUGACUGCGUACCUUUUGUAUAAUGGGUCAGCGACUUAUAUUCUGUAGCAAGGUUAACCGUAUAGGGGAGCCGCAGGGAAACCGAGUCUUAACUGGGCGUUAAGUUGCAGGGUAUAGACCCGAAACCCGGUGAUCUAGCCAUGGGCAGGUUGAAGGUUGGGUAACACUAACUGGAGGACCGAACCGACUAAUGUUGAAAAAUUAGCGGAUGACUUGUGGCUGGGGGUGAAAGGCCAAUCAAACCGGGAGAUAGCUGGUUCUCCCCGAAAGCUAUUUAGGUAGCGCCUCGUGAACUCAUCUUCGGGGGUAGAGCACUGUUUCGGCUAGGGGGUCAUCCCGACUUACCAACCCGAUGCAAACUACGAAUACCGAAGAAUGUUAUCACGGGAGACACACGGCGGGUGCUAACGUCCGUCGUGAAGAGGGAAACAACCCAGACCGCCAGCUAAGGUCCCAAAGUCAUGGUUAAGUGGGAAACGAUGUGGGAAGGCACAGACAGCCAGGAUGUUGGCUUAGAAGCAGCCAUCAUUUAAAGAAAGCGUAAUAGCUCACUGGUCAAGUCGGCCUGCGCGGAAGAUGUAACGGGGCUAAACCAUGCACCGAAGCUGCGGCAGCGACACUAUGUGUUGUUGGGUAGGGGAGCGUUCUGUAAGCCUGCGAAGGUGACCUGUGAGGGUUGCUGGAGGUAUCAGAAGUGCGAAUGCUGACAUAAGUAACGAUAAAGCGGGUGAAAAGCCCGCUCGCCGGAAGACCAAGGGUUCCUGUCCAACGUUAAUCGGGGCAGGGUGAGUCGACCCCUAAGGCGAGGCCGAAAGGCGUAGUCGAUGGGAAACAGGUUAAUAUUCCUGUACUUGGUGUUACUGCGAAGGGGGGACGGAGAAGGCUAUGUUAGCCGGGCGACGGUUGUCCCGGUUUAAGCAUGUAGGCUGAUUGUCCAGGCAAAUCCGGAUAAUCAAGGCUGAGGUGUGAUGACGAGGCACUACGGUGCUGAAGUAACAAAUGCCCUGCUUCCAGGAAAAGCCUCUAAGCAUCAGGUAACAUCAAAUCGUACCCCAAACCGACACAGGUGGUCAGGUAGAGAAUACCAAGGCGCUUGAGAGAACUCGGGUGAAGGAACUAGGCAAAAUGGUGCCGUAACUUCGGGAGAAGGCACGCUGGUGUGUAGGUGAAGUCCCUGCGGAUGGAGCUGAGACCAGUCGAAGAUACCAGCUGGCUGCAACUGUUUAUUAAAAACACAGCACUGUGCAAACACGAAAGUGGACGUAUACGGUGUGACGCCUGCCCGGUGCCGGAAGGUUAAUUGAUGGGGUUAUCCGUAAGGAGAAGCUCUUGAUCGAAGCCCCGGUAAACGGCGGCCGUAACUAUAACGGUCCUAAGGUAGCGAAAUUCCUUGUCGGGUAAGUUCCGACCUGCACGAAUGGCGUAAUGAUGGCCAGGCUGUCUCCACCCGAGACUCAGUGAAAUUGAACUCGCUGUGAAGAUGCAGUGUACCCGCGGCAAGACGGAAAGACCCCGUGAACCUUUACUAUAGCUUGACACUGAACAUUGAGCCUUGAUGUGUAGGAUAGGUGGGAGGCUUUGAAGCGUGGACGCCAGUCUGCGUGGAGCCAACCUUGAAAUACCACCCUUUAAUGUUUGAUGUUCUAACGUUGGCCCCUUACCGGGGUUGCGGACAGUGUCUGGUGGGUAGUUUGACUGGGGCGGUCUCCUCCCAAAGCGUAACGGAGGAGCACGAAGGUUAGCUAAUCCUGGUCGGACAUCAGGAGGUUAGUGCAAUGGCAUAAGCUAGCUUGACUGCGAGCGUGACGGCGCGAGCAGGUGCGAAAGCAGGUCAUAGUGAUCCGGUGGUUCUGAAUGGAAGGGCCAUCGCUCAACGGAUAAAAGGUACUCCGGGGAUAACAGGCUGAUACCGCCCAAGAGUUCAUAUCGACGGCGGUGUUUGGCACCUCGAUGUCGGCUCAUCACAUCCUGGGGCUGAAGUAGGUCCCAAGGGUAUGGCUGUUCGCCAUUUAAAGUGGUACGCGAGCUGGGUUUAGAACGUCGUGAGACAGUUCGGUCCCUAUCUGCCGUGGGCGCUGGAGAAUUGAGGGGGGCUGCUCCUAGUACGAGAGGACCGGAGUGGACGCAUCACUGGUGUUCGGGUUGUCAUGCCAAUGGCACUGCCCGGUAGCUAAAUGCGGAAGAGAUAAGUGCUGAAAGCAUCUAAGCACGAAACUUGCCCCGAGAUGAGUUCUCCCUGAGACUUUAAGUCUCCUGAAGGAACGUUGAAGACGACGACGUUGAUAGGCCGGGUGUGUAAGCGCAGCGAUGCGUUGAGCUAACCGGUACUAAUGAACCGUGAGGCUUAACCUU
rnacentral:rRNA from 1 species